GAUGAACGCUGGCGGCGUGCCUAACACAUGCAAGUCGAGCGAUUCUCUUCGGAGAAGAGCGGCGGACGGGUGAGUAACGCGUGGGUAACCUACCCUGUACACACGGAUAACAUACCGAAAGGUAUGCUAAUACGGGAUGAUAUAUAGAAAUUGCAUGAUUUUUAUAUCAAAGAUUUAUCGGUACAGGAUGGACCCGCGUCUGAUUAACUUGUUGGCGGGGUAACGGCCCACCAAGGCGACGAUCAGUAGCCGACCUGAGAGGGUGAUCGGCCACAUUGGAACUGAGACACGGUCCAAACUCCUACGGGAGGCAGCAGUGGGGAAUAUUGCACAAUGGGCGCAAGCCUGAUGCAGCAACGCCGCGUGAGCGAUGAAGGCCUUCGGGUCGUAAAGCUCUGUCCUCAAGGAAGAUAAUGACGGUACUGAGAGAG
rnacentral:rRNA from 1 species